rnacentral:rRNA from 1 species
GCUCAGGAUGAACGCUGGCGGCGUGCUUAACACAUGCAAGUCGAACGGUGAAGCAGGAGCUUGCUCUUGUGGAUCAGUGGCGAACGGGUGAGUAACACGUGAGCAACCUGCCCCUGACUCUGGGAUAAGCGCUGGAAACGGCGUCUAAUACUGGAUAUGUGACGUGACCGCAUGGUCUGCGUUUGGAAAGAUUUUUCGGUUGGGGAUGGGCUCGCGGCCUAUCAGCUUGUUGGUGAGGUAAUGGCUCACCAAGGCGUCGACGGGUAGCCGGCCUGAGAGGGUGACCGGCCACACUGGGACUGAGACACGGCCCAGACUCCUACGGGAGGCAGCAGUGGGGAAUAUUGCACAAUGGGCGAAAGCCUGAUGCAGCAACGCCGCGUGAGGGAUGACGGCCUUCGGGUUGUAAACCUCUUUUAGCAGGGAAGAAGCGAAAGUGACGGUACCUGCAGAAAAAGCGCCGGCUAACUACGUGCCAGCAGCCGCGGUAAUACGUAGGGCGCAAGCGUUAUCCGGAAUUAUUGGGCGUAAAGAGCUCGUAGGCGGUUUGUCGCGUCUGCUGUGAAAUCCCGAGGCUCAACCUCGGGCCUGCAGUGGGUACGGGCAGACUAGAGUGCGGUAGGGGAGAUUGGAAUUCCUGGUGUAGCGGUGGAAUGCGCAGAUAUCAGGAGGAACACCGAUGGCGAAGGCAGAUCUCUGGGCCGUAACUGACGCUGAGGAGCGAAAGGGUGGGGAGCAAACAGGCUUAGAUACCCUGGUAGUCCACCCCGUAAACGUUGGGAACUAGUUGUGGGGUCCAUUCCACGGAUUCCGUGACGCAGCUAACGCAUUAA